UACGAGGGGGGCAAGCGUUGUUCGGAAUUAUUGGGCGUAAAGCGCACGUAGGCGGCUUUGUAAGUUAGAGGUGAAAGUCCGGAGCUCAACUCCGGAACUGCCUUUAAGACUGCAUCGCUUGAAUCCAGGAGAGGUGAGUGGAAUUCCGAGUGUAGAGGUGAAAUUCGUAGAUAUUCGGAAGAACACCAGUGGCGAAGGCGGCUCACUGGACUGGUAUUGACGCUGAGGUGCGAAAGCGUGGGGAGCAAACAGG
rnacentral:rRNA from 1 species